rnacentral:rRNA from 1 species
UGUGCUCGGACUGCAACUCCCUAACCAUUGUGAACGUUACCUAAACCGUUGCUUCGGCGGGCGGCCCCGGGGUCAUCCCCGGGCGCCCCUGGGCCCCAUCGCGGGCGCCCGCCGGAGGUCACCAAACUCUUGAUAAUUUAUGGCCUCUCUGAGUCUUCUGUACUGAAUAAGUCAAAACUUUCAACAACGGAUCUCUUGGUUCUGGCAUCGAUGAAGAACGCAGCGAAAUGCGAUAAGUAAUGUGAAUUGCAGAAUUCAGUGAAUCAUCGAAUCUUUGAACGCACAUUGCGCCCGCCAGUAUUCUGGCGGGCAUGCCUGUUCGAGCGUCAUUUCAACCAUCAAGCCCCCGGCUUGUGUUGGGGACCUGCGGCUGCCGCAGGCCCUGAAAAGCAGUGGCGGGCUCGCUGUCACACCGAGCGUAGUAGCAUACAUCUCGCUCUGGGCGUGCUGCGGGUUCCGGCCGUUAAACCACCUUCAUAACCCAAGGUUGACCUCGGAUCAGGUAGGAAGACCCGCUGAACUUAAGCAUAUCAAAGUGGGAAGAAAUA